rnacentral:rRNA from 1 species
GUCCACGCCGUAAACGAUGAUAACUAGCUGUCAGGGGCCAUGGGCUUUUGGUGGCGCAGCUAACGCAUUAAGUUAUCCGCCUGGGGAGUACGGCCGCAAGGUUAAAACUCAAAGAAAUUGACGGGGGCCUGCACAAGCGGUGGAGCAUGUGGUUUAAUUCGAAGCAACGCGCAGAACCUUACCAGCGUUUGACAUCCUCAUCGCGGAUUAGAGAGAUCUUUUCCUUCAGUUCGGCUGGAUGAGUGACAGGUGCUGCAUGGCUGUCGU